ACUCAUUGCCAGAAGUCCAAAGUGAGAAAAAUCAGUUCCAGCACUCUGGAGCACAUCCAGUUAGUGCUUAGUAAUAAGGAAAACCAACAUUAUAUUCACUGCUGCCAAAGUCAUCACAAACAUGCUUUCAACGACUACAAGAGCAGAAAGGAAAAGGCCUGGGACCGGGACGGCCAUGCCUCUUACUCACCAGGUAGCCUCGGUGGGACUUCGUUUCCCCCUCUGCAAAAUGAAGAGGCCAGCUCACAUGGGUGGAUGACGUAUCAGGGUAUUUUUGGUUCUAGGUAACAGAAAAGUACUGGCUUAAAUUAUAAAGGGGACUUACUGGCUCAUGUCAUUGAAGAGCCCAAGAAGAUCUGAAGAGCUUCGGGGCUAGCUCGAACACCUUAACUGGGAACUAAUUUCCCCCCUCACCAUUUCUUGGCUCUGCUUCCUUGGUGAGACCUCGGCCAACUCUCUGAUGGUAAAAGGGCUUCCAGCUGUUCCCCGGGGCUGCAAGCCCUCACUCAGGGACAGUGCAAAGGGAAGAUCUUUGUGCCAAAGGACGUCAGCAGCAGAAGUCCCGAGACGUACUCUGACCACAGCUUCUGAGGUCACAUGCCCCUCCCUGAACCAAUCACUGCCACAGGGGAUGGAAUGUGCUGAUUGGCCAGGCCUAGGUCAUGUGGCACUAGGUCCAUUCCCACGGCUGAGGGUGGAUUCAGCCUCCGGACCGCUGCAUGGGUUCCCACGUGGAACUGGAACAGUGGGAAAGCAGGAAGGAGAGAAAGAAAGGUGCACAGUCAAGCAACACACUUUCGUGACCAGUGAAGGUCAAACAUUUUGGGGGUGAACAGAACCCCAAUAUACAACAUAUACACAAAUGGAGCUUCACUCGGUGACGCGGGAGUGGGGAUUUAAAGCCCUGUCUUCUGUUGCUCCUAAGAGCCCUGCUUAGAAACCUAGUGCUCCAGGAAACAGAUAAAAGUAAUGUCUUUGGGUCCGUUCAGCUCUGUUCCUUGCUACUGCUUAAUAAGCAAAUAUCUACUAGGAUAACAUGUCAACCGUCUUCAGGCGCUUCUGCAGGCCUUGUGCUAUUUGUUCUGUGCACAGCUCUGUGAACUAGGUAGGACAUUAAUCUUUAUUAAGAAUAUGCUUUAUAGUUACAGGCUUCUCAACGUAAAGAUGGAUCAGCACCCAGCUAUCAUUUUUCAAGCUUACCAGACCUUGCAACCAUCUACCCCAGUUUCUGAUAAAGACCAGGCCAAUGAAGCCACACAUCACCACAAAUAGCUAAGAAAUCUGACUAUACAUGGAGCCAGGGGGAAAGGGCAUGAAAGCAAUAGGGAGACAAAGGCUUUCUUCAAAUGAACAGUGAUGAGAAAUUUCGUUUCCUGAAAGACCCAGGGAAUUAACAAAAUACUGUAUUCACUUUGAAAGUCAUGUGGAAAACAUUUUACGUUUUGAAAAAGUGGAAGUUUCUCUUAAUUUUAUUUUUAGAGAGAGAGAGAGAUUGAGAGCAGGGGAGGAGUAGAGGCGGAGAGACAGAGAGAAUCUCAAGCCAACUCCACGCUGAGCCUGGAGCCCGACGAGGGGCUUGAUCUCACCGCAUGAGAUCAUGACCUGAGCUGAAACCAAGAGUCAGAGGCUCAACAGACUGAGCCACCCAGGAGCCCCUCCUAUCUUAACUAUUUUUAAAUGUACAGCUCAGUGACAUUAAAUGCAUUCACACUGUGUUGCAAUCCUCACCACUGUUCAUCUUCAGAACUCUUCUCAUCUUGCAAAAUGAAACUUCAUACCCAUACCCGCCCCCACAGCCCCUUGGUUUCCAACUGAAGAUACAGGCUUCCAGCGAAGAUACAAGAUUGUGGAGUACAGUGAAUGAGCGGCUCCUCCCCCACCCUGUCCUGUUCCAUCCUUCCUCCCUCUUCCCAGGGGCAUCUCUUUCUCACCUGUCAUAUGUUGCCAACAUCCUAUUGUGUUAUCACAUCUCAGUUCAGAUAACCACAUUUCCAGGGCUCAACAGCCACCUAUGUCCAGUGGCUACCGUGCUGGAAAGCGCAACCCUGAGGAUUAAGAGCAGAAUAUCCAAGAUGUGCUGGGAGGCAUCUUCUCUCCUUUCUAAGCGACGCCAGAAUCACCAAGGAAGUGAACGUCUCAAGCCACAGAGGAGUAUAUAAAUCGUCCUGCCUUUGGUUUCACCUUGUCGGAACACACCGACAGACAGCAGAACCGCCAGCUACAUUUUGUUAGGAGAGAUGGUGCCAGCGGAUCACGGCGGUGGAUCCACUUGACUGCUCCAGGAAACAACACCCUGCUCUUUCAGGACACUUACCGGUGGGACAGAGACGCUAUUCAGAGUAAAAACUUCUGAGUAAUGGAGUGGGGGAAUGGAAGCACCUCGCCUGGGAGUUCUCCUCUUUCUAGUAGGAGUUUGAAAGAAGGCUCUGUUCAGCACCAAUGGCAAGAGGACAUUCGCUGACCUUUGGCAAUAGGCACCUGACCAGAAACAGAAUAUUAACUCUACACUCUAACUUGGAUGCACAGAGAAAAUAUCCUUUAUUUUUCUUAUAUCUAAAAUGGCCUUUCCUGCUUCAAACCCACAGCCAACUGGCUAGCAAAGAGAAAAGACAUCGGAAACUCCUCUGAUGAGACUCCCAUUUGGCUUUGGCUUGAGUGUUUCCCUCAGUAGCCUAAGUACCAGGAUCCCUCAUCCUUGCCAUGGUGAUCCUUCUAGAAAACUCCUCCACUGGACUCCCAGGUAUUUCUGAAACCUGUCUAUACCACACUGGGGACAAAGAUGACUUGGGAAAGUUGAGCCACAGGGCCUGCCUCUCCCUGACUCUGCUGGGCCAUCGGGUGAGAGUUCGGUCCGCCGGCUCAGUGUAUACAGCCUGGGAUUUAGCCUCCUCCUCCCACUUCAAUAGGUUGCAGAAAAGAGCCUCCAGUCUUCUUGGCUCUCCUAGACUUAUCUAAUACAUGGCUCUCCUAAG